GACGAACGCUGGCGGCGUGCCUAAUACAUGCAAGUCGAGCGAAGUUUUUCUGGUGCUUGCACUAGAAAAACUUAGCGGCGAACGGGUGAGUAACACGUAAAGAACCUGCCUCAUAGACUGGGACAACUAUUGGAAACGAUAGCUAAUACCGGAUAACAGUAUUUCUCGCAUGAGAGAUAAUUAAAAGUUGGUUAUGCUAACACUAUGAGAUGGCUUUGCGGUGCAUUAGCUAGUUGGUGGGGUAAAGGCCCACCAAGGCGACGAUGCAUAGCCGACCUGAGAGGGUGAUCGGCCACACUGGGACUGAGACACGGCCCAGACUCCUACGGGAGGCAGCAGUAGGGAAUCUUCCGCAAUGGGCGAAAGCCUGACGGAGCAACGCCGCGUGAGUGAAGAAGGAUUUCGGUUCGUAAAGCUCUGUUGUUAGGGAAGAAUGGAUAUGUAGUAACUAUACAUGUAAGAGACGGUACCUAACCAGAAAGCCACGGCUAACUACGUG
rnacentral:rRNA from 1 species